CCAAUAGCGUAUAUUAAAGUUGCUGCAGUUAAAAAGCUCGUAGUUGAAUUUCGGGACCAAUAUGUCGGUCGUGCCUCGGUACGUACUGGCAUCGUUGGUUUCUCCCUUCUGAAGAACCAUGAUGUCAUUCAUUUGGUGUCGUGGGGAAUCAGGACUGUUACUUUGAAAAAAUUAGAGUGUUUAAAGCAGGCUCACGCUUGAAUACAUUAGCAUGGAAUAAUGAAAUAGGACGUUUGAUUCUAUUUUGUUGGUUUCUAGGAUCGACGUAAUGAUUAAUAGGGAUAGUUUGUGGCAAUAGUAUUCAAUUGUCAGAGGUGAAAUUCUUGGAUUUAUUGAAGACUAACUACUGCGAAAGCAUUUGCCAAGGAUGUUUUCAUUAAUCAAGAACGAAAGUUAGGGUAUCGAAGACGUUCAGAUACCGUCGUAGUCUUAACCAUAAACUAUGCCGACUAGGGAUCGGAUGAUGUUAAUUUUUUAAUGACUCAUUCGGCGCCUUACG
rnacentral:rRNA from 1 species